rnacentral:piRNA from 1 species
UGCCUCUCCAGUGUUGAGAUUAAAGGUGU